rnacentral:rRNA from 1 species
ACGCUCGACACCUACUGGAGGCAGCAGUGGGGAAUAUUGGGCAAUGGGCNCAAGCCUGACCCAGCAACGCCGCGUGAAGGAAGAAGGCUUUCGGGUUGUAAACUUCUUUUGUCAGGGACGAAUAAAUGACGGUACCUGACGAAUAAGCCACGGCUAACUACGUGCCAGCAGCCGCGGUAAUCUGAGCGGGCUGGCAAGGC